ACUAAGUCAACAUAUGUUACACAUCAUAUCGUGACUGUAGUGGCAAUACCCAGCACUAUUGCCAGGGGACUGCACCUCACACACAAUUACAUAAGAAUAAGACAAACCUACUGAAAAUGGGGAGCUAGACGUAUUACUAUUAGUGUCCACUGCUCUGUACAAGUCCCGGGCCAGUAAUGAUACAGAAUCCACUCAAAAUGUAAAACAAACUAACAAAAAGGUGAGGCUAAAAACAGACCAUUCACUAUAAUAAAGAAAUUAAACAUUGUUAGUUGUGUUUUAUUUAUCCCAUACAGACCAUACGCAAUUGAACUUGAAUAAAAC